rnacentral:misc_RNA from 1 species
CCAAUAGCGUAUAUUAAAGUUGUUGUGGUUAAAAAGCUCGUAGUUGAACCUUGGGCCUGGCUGGCCGGUCCGCCUCACCGCGUGUACUGGUCCGGCCGGGCCUUUCCCUCUGUGGAACCUCAUGCCCUUCACUGGGUGUGACGGGGAAGCAGGACUUUUACUGUGAAAAAAUUAGAGUGCUCCAAGCAGGCCUAUGCUCGAAUACAUUAGCAUGGAAUAAUAAAAUAGGACGUGCGGUUCUAUUUUGUUGGUUUCUAGGACCGCCGUAAUGAUUAAUAGGGACCGUCGGGGGCAUCAGUAUUCAAUUGUCAGAGGUGAAAUUAUUGGAUUUAUUGAAGACUAACUACUGCGAAAGCAUUUGCCAAGGAUGUUUUCAUUAAUCAGGAACGAAAGUUAGGGGAUCGAAGACGAUCAGAUACCGUCGUAGUCUUAACCAUAAACUAUGCCGACUUGGGGUGGGUAAACGUUGACUUUAUUGACUUUAUUCGCACCAUAUG